rnacentral:lncRNA from 1 species
UAUAAUAUAAUGAAUCUAUAUUAUAUGUUCAAAACUUAAGUAUUCUCCUACUUUAAGCAUACGAGCAAAUAAAAAGUUAUAUGCAAAAACAAUACAUGAACAAACCAUCUUUCACACAAACCAAUAUCCAAAACCUCAAGAAGAAAAAAAGACGCAUUAGUAAUCACACAAAUUACAAUCUCUAUCACUCUAAUCAAACAAAGCAUACCUCA